rnacentral:rRNA from 1 species
UGGGGAAUCUUGCGCAAUGCGCGAAAGCGUGACGCAGCAACACCGCGUGAGGGAAGACGGCCUUCGGGUUGUAAACCUCUUUCAGGAGGGACGAAGGGUGACCGGUGAAUAGCCGUGUUGCUUGACGGUACCUCCAGAAGAAGCUCCGGCUAACUACGUGCCAGCAGCCGCGGUAAUACGUAGGGAGCAAGCGUUGUCCGGAAUCAUUGGGCGUAAAGCGCGCGUAGGCGGCCCGAUAAGUCCGCUGUAAAAGUCAACGGCUCAACUGUUGAAAGCCGGUGGAUACUGUCGGGCUAGAGUACGGAAGAGGCAAGUGGAAUUCCUGGUGUAGCGGUGGAAUGUGCAGAUAUCAGGAGGAACACCUAUAGCGAAGGCAGCUUGCUGGGACGUAACUGACGCUAAGGCGCGAAAGCGUGGGGAGCGGAACAGGGAUUAGGAUACCCUGGUAGUCCACGCCGUAAACGAUGGGAACU